ACUAACUUAUGCUCUGACCUGAGUAGCAUGGGACACGUGGAAUUGUCACUACUUAUGGACCCGAACCUAGGUGAUCUAUCCAUGACCAGGAUAAAGCUUAGGUAAAAUUAAGUGGAGGUCCGAACAGACUGAUGUUGAGGAAUUAGCAGAUGAGCUGUGGUUAGAAGUGAAAUGUCUAGUUCUCCUUGAAAUGCGUUGAGGCACAACAAUUGAAUGGACAUCUACGGGUAUAACAUUGUGUUGGUGCGGGCCAUGAGAGUGGUACCAAAUCGAGACAAACUCUGAAUACUAGAUAUGACCUCAAAAUAAUAGUGGUCAAGGUCGACCAGUGAGAUGAUGGUGGAUAAGCUUUAUCGUCGAGAGGGAAACAACCCAGAUUACCAGCACAGGCUCCUAAAUUAUUCCUCAGUGAUAAGGUACAAAGACUGCCAGAAGUUUGCCUAGAAAUAGCGACCCCUGGAAGAGUGCAUAAUACUUCACUGAUCGAAUGGCUCUUGCGCCGAAGACGAACGAGGCUAAGCGAUCUACCGAAGGUAUAGGAUGUAAAAAUACAUCGGUUAGGAGAGCGUUCCGCCUUAGAAGGAAGCUCCCGUGCAAGCAGUGAUGGACGCAAAAAUUUGUGAAAAUCCAAUGCCUCAAAAAAUCUAGGAGUUCCUCUGUAAGGUUCAUCCACGAAAGGUGAGUCAAGGCCUAAGAUUAGGUCGAAAGCAUAGUUAAUGGAUAGCAUGUGAAUAUUAUUGUACUACCCCCUUGUUGCUUCUGAGGGAUGGAAGAGGUUAGAUUAGCCGAAAGCUGGUUAUUAGUUCAAGAAUGUAAGGUGACCCUAUUUUUUAGGGUAAGAAGGAGUAAAGAAAAUGCCUCAAGCCAAUAUUUGAGCACCAGGUGCUAAGAUGCUGAAGUAACCCACGCCAUACUCCCAGGAAAGCUCGAACGACCUUUAAAUAAAAGGAUACCUGUAUCCAAGACAAGUCUCUCUAAGAAACUCAACAAAAUAGCCCCACAACUUCAGGAGAAUGAGCGCCUCCUCACAAAAGGGUAACAGUGACCAGGGACUAGCAACUGUUUACCAAAAACACAAGUCUCCACAAAGUCGUACAACCAUGUAUGGGAGCUGAUGUCUGUCCAAUGUUGAAAGGUCAAGGAAGUUGGUAACCUGAUGAUGGGGAGCAGGCGACCGAAACCCCAAUGAACAGCGACCGUAACAAUAAUAAUCCUAAGGUAGCGAAAUUCGUUAUUGGAUAAGUUUCGACCCGCACGAAAGGCAUAACAAGCUGGGCAUUGUUUCAAAGAGAAGCUUGAUGAAAUAG
rnacentral:rRNA from 1 species